rnacentral:rRNA from 1 species
GACGAACGCUGGCGGCGUGCUUAACACAUGCAAGUCGAGCGAUGAAGCUCCUUCGGGAGUGGAUUAGCGGCGGACGGGUGAGUAACACGUGGGUAACCUGCCUCAUAGAGGGGAAUAGCCUUCCGAAAGGAAGAUUAAUACCGCAUAAGAUUGUAGUUCCGCAUGGAAUAGCAAUUAAAGGAGUAAUCCGCUAUGAGAUGGACCCGCGUCGCAUUAGCUAGUUGGUGAGGUAACGGCUCACCAAGGCGACGAUGCGUAGCCGACCUGAGAGGGUGAUCGGCCACAUUGGGACUGAGACACGGCCCAGACUCCUACGGGAGGCAGCAGUGGGGAAUAUUGCACAAUGGGGGAAACCCUGAUGCAGCAACGCCGCGUGAGUGAUGACGGUCUUCGGAUUGUAAAACUCUGUCUUCAGGGACGAUAAUGACGGUACCUGAGGAGGAAGCCACGGCUAACUACGUG